CGAUACUAUAUCACGCCAGGUGCUCCUAUAUCACGCCAGGCGGCGCUGUGUCACGCCAGGCGUUACUAUAUCACGCCAGGCGGCGCUCCUAUAUCACACCAGGCGAUACUAUAUCACGCCAGGUGCUCCUAUAUCACGCCAGGCGGCGCUGUGUCACGCCAGGCGAUACUAUAUCACGCCAGGCGGCGCUCCUAUAUCACGCCAGGCGGCGCUGUGUCACGCCAGGCGAUACUAUAUCACGCCAGGCGGCGCUGUGUCACGCUAGGUGAUACUAUAUCACGCCAGGCGGCGCUCCUAUAUCACGCCAGGCGGCGCUCCUAUAUCACACCAGGCGGCGCUCCUAUAUCACACCAGGCGCUACUAUAUCACGCCAGGCGGCGCUGUGUCACGACAGGCAAUACUAUAUCACGCCAGGCGGCGCUCCUCCUAUAUCACGCCAGGCGAUACUAUAUCACGCCAGGCGACACUAUAUCACGCCAGGCGACACUAUAUCACGCCAGGCGAUACUAUAUCACGCCAGGUGAUACUAUAUCACGCCAGGCGGCGCUGUGUCAUGCCAGGCGAUACUAUAUCACGCCAGGUGCUCCUAUAUCACGCCAGGCGGCGCUGUGUCACGCCAGGUGAUACUAUAUCACGCCAGGCGGUGCUCCUAUAUCACGCCAGGCGAUACUAUAUUCCUAAACUGUGUUGUCUUUUUUUCUUUCAGCCUAUGAUCCCAACAACAAGCGUCUGCGCCAGAUCAAAGACCAGGUGAUCAACGACUCCAAGUACAACCCCAAGAUCCUGUUCCAGGUACUCCUAGACACCGCCCAGUUUGAGUUCACCCUCAAAGAGAUGUUCAAGAAGAUGCUGUCAGAGAAGCAGCUGAAAUGGGAGAGUUAUCGAACUGAGGGAUCUGAGAGGAUGACCGAGCUGGCUGAGGUCUUCUCUGGGGUCAAGCCUCUAACCAGAGUGGGAAGAAUGG
ensembl:lncRNA